CCUGGCGGCCUUAGCGCGGUGGUCCCACCUGACCCCAUGCCGAACUCAGAAGUGAAACGCCGUAGCGCCGAUGGUAGUGUGGGGUCUCCCCAUGCGAGAGUAGGGAACUG
rnacentral:rRNA from 3 species